rnacentral:rRNA from 1 species
AUGGACUACGACGACGACGUCCUCCGGGAGAUCUUCAUCCGCCUUCCUCCGCAGCCAUCCGCCCUUCUCCGCGCCUCCCUUGUUUGCAAGUGUUGGCGCCGCCUCAUCUCUGACCGUGGCUUCCUCGGCCGCUUCCGUGCCUACCAUAAGCGACCUCCGCUCCUCGGCUUCUUCACGACACAAGACAAAGCCUUCAACUUCAUCCCCACGCUGGACCGUCCUGACCGAAUCUCCGCCGCAAGAUUCUCCCUUAAAAUGCCCUGCGGCGAGUGUUGGUCGUUCAAAGGCUGCCGCCACGGCCUCGCGCUCUUCCUCAAUUGGACUCGACAUGAGGCGGUCGUGUGGGACCCCCUCAGUGGUCACCAGCAUCUUGUGGCUUUUCCACCAGAGUUCGGCAACGACGAAGACAACCUAGUC